AGAGUACUCCCUCCGUCUGGAAAUACUUGUCAUCAACAUGGAUUAAAGAGGAUGUAUCUAGAUGUAUUUUAGUUCUAGAUACAUCUCUUUUUAUUCAUUUUGAUGACAAGUUUUUUCAGAUGGAGGGAGUAAUAG
rfam:Triticum urartu cultivar G1812 contig921830, whole genome shotgun sequence.